UGAUCUGGAUAAAUAGCAUAAUCAUUGCUUUUCAAUUCCAUAACAUAAUAACAAGAUUUUCUAAAAUUUUAGAACGGAAAUAUUCUACUUAGCAUAAUUAGGUAUCGUUUCCAAUAUUAUUAGGUGAAUUUUUAUUUUAAAGAUUCGCAAUACAGACAUUUUCAAAUGAAUACAGCGUCAUUCUGUUCUUGAUAUACCUGUAGCUGAAGAUUUUAAUGAAGUAGACCUUAAUGCAAAAUGGAUAUAUAAACAAGUAUUUUGCCGAUCUUCCAUAUUACUGUUAAAGAAGCUCACUUAAAUGAAAAAGCCAAAGAAAGGCCUACAAACUAUUGGAGAAAUUAAAAAGGCUUUAGAUUUUAUGCACAAUCAACAUUUGAUGAAAGGAACUUUAAAAUGUUGAUUGCGCAUAAAAUCUAAAGCCUUUUUGAAGUGAAACUAGCAAGGGUAAGUUGGCGAUAAGAUGAAGUGGAAAUGAAAUAAAAAAAUGAAGUGGAAAUGAGAGAGGUAUAUAAAAAUAAGAUAAGAGAGAGUAAGAUAAAGUAUAAAACACGCGUUUUUAUUUUCCUCGUCAUAGAUGAAAUUGCAAAAAAAUCAAAUUUUUUGAUUUUUUUCUGAAACACGGAUAAAUAAUGAAGAGAUAAAUAUUCUUAUUUUGACUGUAUCAUCAAAUUUAUGUGUAUUAAAUCUAGAGCUAGUUACAAUUUAUUAUAAUAUCAAUAACAAAUGACACUAUUAUCUCCCAAAUUAGAUUUAAAUAUUAAUAUUAAUAAAUAAAAAUAAAAAUGAAGUGGAAAUAAGAGAGGUAUAUAAAAAUAAGAUCAGAGAGAGUAAGACAGAGUAUAAGAUAUGCGUUAUUAUUUUCCUUAUCAUAGAUGAAGUUGCAAAAAGAUCUAAUUUUUUGGUUUUUUCUUUAAAUAAAAAUAUUAAACAAA